rnacentral:rRNA from 1 species
UGGGGAAUCUUCCGCAAUGGACGAAAGUCUGACGGAGCAACGCCGCGUGAGUGAAGAAGGUUUUCGGAUCGUAAAACUCUGUUUUCAGGGACGAAUGUGCAGUGUGUAAAUAAUGCAUUGUAAUGACGGUACCUGAGUAGAAAGCCACGGCUAACUACGUGCCAGCAGCCGCGGUAAUACGUAGGUGGCAAGCGUUGUCCGGAAUUAUUGGGCGUAAAGCGCGCGCAGGUGGGAUAUUAAGUCUGGUGUUAAAGUUCGGGGCUCAACCCCGUGAAGCAUUUGGAAACUGAUAUUCUUGAGUGCAGGAGAGGAAAGUGGAAUUCCUAGUGUAGCGGUGAAAUGCGUAGAUAUUAGGAGGAACACCAGUGGCGAAGGCGACUUUCUGGACUGUGUCUGACACUGAGGCGCGAAAGCUAGGGUAGUGAACA